AUUGCCCCAGGUGUCGAAUGCCCAGUGAAUUAUCCCGCUUCCGAAAUCUGCAAGUAAGGAUGCUAGAACUUUGAAUUGCAAUUAAACUCCAUAAGUAAAACGCGAUCCAAAUAUACAAUUUCCGGUCGAAUCCGAUAGAUAUAUGCAAUUUCCGGUCGAAUCCAAUUGAUAUAUGCAAUUUCCGGUCGAAUCCGAUCGAUAUACACAAUUUCCGAAAUGAUGAUUCUAUGUAAAUA